GACGAACGCUGGCGGCGUGCUUAACACAUGCAAGUCGAACGGAAAGGCCCUGCUUUUGUGGGGUGCUCGAGUGGCGAACGGGUGAGUAACACGUGAGUAACCUGCCCUUGACUUUGGGAUAACUUCAGGAAACUGGGGCUAAUACCGGAUAGGAGCUCCUGCUGCAUGGUGGGGGUUGGAAAGUUUCGGCGGGUGGGGAUGGACUCGCGGCUUAUCAGCUUGUUGGUGGGGUAGUGGCUUACCAUGGCUUUGACGGGUAGCAGGCCUGAGAGGGUGACCGGCCACAUUGGGACUGAGAUACGGCCCAGACUCCUACGGGAGGCAGCAGUGGGGAAUAUUGCACAAUGGGCGGAAGCCUGAUGCAGCAACGCCGCGUGCGGGAUGACGGCCUUCGGGUUGUAAACCGCUUUCGCCUGUGACGAAGCGUGAGUGACGGUAAUGGGUAAAGAAGCACCGGCUAACUACGUG
rnacentral:rRNA from 1 species